UGUUGAUGAUGUUGAAAGACCCCCGGAGCAGGGAGACCCUCACUCAAGUCUUGGGAUGAUGCGACCCCCCCAAGAACUCACAUAAGACC
rnacentral:pre_miRNA from 14 species